rnacentral:rRNA from 1 species
AGAGUUUGAUCCUGGCUCAGGAUGAACGCUGGCGGCGUGCUUAACACAUGCAAGUCGAGCGGAAGCAUUUAGAAGCUUGCUUUUAAAUACUUUAGCGGCGGACGGGUGAGUAACGUGUGGGCAACCUGCCUCAUACAGAGGAAUAAUCAUGUGAAAACGUGACUAAUACCUCAUGUCAAUUUCUGAAGGCAUCUUCGGGAAAGAAAAGGAGCAAUCCGGUAUGAGAUGGGCCCGCAUCUGAUUAGCUAGUUGGUGAGAUAACAGCCCACCAAGGCAACGAUCAGUAGCCGACCUGAGAGGGUGAUCGGCCACAUUGGGACUGAGACACGGCCCAAACUCCUACGGGAGGCAGCAGUGGGGAAUAUUGCACAAUGGGGGAAACCCUGAUGCAGCAACGCCGCGUGAAGGAAGACGGUUUUCGGAUUGUAAACUUCUAUCGAUAGGGACGAAAAAAAUGACGGUACCUAAAUAAGAAGCCCCGGCUAACUACGUGCCAGCAGCCGCGGUAA